AAAGCAGAAAUCUUCAACACCAAGAACCGAACUUUUCAGGCGGCACAAGCAGAGGAGUCUCGAUGGAGUUAGCCGACAGAGCUGUUGGGCUCAUUUUAACAUUGACUAGUUUGUCCAUUUUUACAUAUUAUACCUUCUGGGUUAUCAUUCUGCCUCUUGUUGAUAGCGAUCAUUUCGUGCACAAGUAUUUUCUACCACAAGAAUACGCUAUUCUCAUUCCUGUAUAUGCUGCAGUGGCGCUGAUCUGCUUAUUGAGCGUGUUUAUUGGAUACGUCAUGCUCAAGUCCAAGAAGAAGAAGGCAUGAUGUAGCUGCGGCAAGUCCAUUGUUUGCUCUAUCGAGUUCAUGAUAAUUGAUCAUCUUUUUAGUGCUUCUCAUUUUGAAUAGCCCAUGCCGGAGAGCACAUAGUUUUUUUUUCUGUAUUCUCGAGUCAACUACAAUUUGGAACCUCUCGAUAUGAUUUUGUAGUAGUCACUACUCACUACUCACUACACAGGUAUUAAACAAAACAUGGUUGAUUUAUUCUCUUGUUAUUAGCUGGAGGAGUGUAAAAAACCUUGAUCAAU
rnacentral:misc_RNA from 1 species